UCGAAUGGGAUGGAUUGUGUGGGCGAAAAAAAUUCACAAUAUUAUUCCAAACGCACGUUUGUAUGACGUCGAAAAUUCGCGGUGGUAUACACGUGUACCAGUGGUAUAACACGUCGAAUGACCAACAUUUUUUACGGGUUUUCCUCGGAUAUCUGUGACUCGGCUGCGGUUUGCUCACGUGUGCUGAUUAUAAUAACAAUGCUGUUUGUUAUUAAAUCGUUCGCUACACUAUCGUCGUUGUCGUCGUGCGAUAUCGUUAGUGUUUUAAACAACAAUAAAUACGCGUAAUAUUAUUGUGCGGACGACCGAAUGUUUUUGUAUUCAAUAUAACAACUAUACGCAGCUUGGUUGGGCAGUGAAACGGAAUUUCGAAUUAUUAAAGAAAAAUAAGGUGGUCUACUGUUAGUAUACGUUCCCCGAGCCUGAGGGGAAACUGUUCAUCAUCAUCGUUAUGUUAUCGCUCGACUGGUUCGCGAGGACUGAAACCAUCGAUUUUUGUCGAAUUCACUUUUUCUGGGGCAUCGUGAAUCGUCUCACACGACUUGACGAUGGCAAUAUUAUGAUGGUACAUGCGUCUAAUGCAAUACGAAUUUAUACGACUCGACCCGACGGAACGCAUCUAGACGAACUGUCUCGGUAGAAACGACGGUGCAUGAUGACAUGUCCUGCACAAUAGAAAAAAUAUAUAUAUUAAUUGCAGAUAUCGUAUUAUUGUUUCGACUCUAGUGCCGGUCCCUUGACCCUUUACCAUCAACC